rnacentral:rRNA from 1 species
UUGUUACAACAUAUUGUUAAUGCACCAUAUCCCAUUAGAAAUCUCUAGUUAAGCGCACUCGAGCUAGAGUAGGACUGAGAUGGGUGACUGCCCAUGAAGUCUUAGUAUUUUACAUG